CAAGACAAUAGCACACCGACUCAAAAUGCAAAUCAAAUAUAUAAUUACAUUGGUGAUUAUUGGAUUGGUUUUGGUGACGUCACCAGCCCAAGCUAAUACAAAUUGUUGUCAGUUAAGAUAUGCUGACUGUCAAUUAACAUGCCGGAAUUACGCCAAGAACAAGACAGCCUGCACUCGUUAUUGUGAGAGGGCAAUGGCGUCAUGUACAAAGAAAUGAGACACAAUUGCAAAGAGAUCAAACAACACAACAAAAUAAGACAAUAUUGGCAUACUUUGGAUUGAUAAUCUUAAAUGGUCUUUUGAAUAAUGAAAAUUCUAAUUGUGUAGUGAAUAUCUUGAAAUUACAUUAUGUGAAAGUUUUCUUAUAUAUGUUUAUACAAUAUAGUUUUUAUAUUGUGGCUACUAGAUAAUUUUCAAUAAUAUGACUGCUUUUUCAUUAAAAUUCUGUUAUGCAUAA